rnacentral:tRNA from 1 species
UGCGGCUGGAAAUUCUGACACGACGGAUUCAAAAUCCGUUGGGGUAAAACCCGUGGCGGUUCGAGUCCGCCCGCCGCUACCA